CCUUCUGUGACAACGAGAAAGCGGCGACGACCACAUCUCCUCUCCUCUCAGGCACUCCUCCUUCUGUGACGACGUCGACGAGACAGCAUCAGCGACGUCAUAUCCUCUCCUCGAUUUCUCUCUCAUAUCAGUUUAAGGUAAGCAUCAUUUCCUUUGAAUUUAGGGUUUUUUCUGUUAAAUUAGGAUUGUCGAAUUAGGGCUUCUGAAUUGAAUUGGGGGUUGA